rnacentral:rRNA from 1 species
GACGAACGCUGGCGGCGUGCUUAACACAUGCAAGUCGAACGGAAAGGCCCUGCUUUUGUGGGGUGCUCGAGUGGCGAACGGGUGAGUAACACGUGGGUAACCUGCCCUUGACUUUGGGAUAACUUCAGGAAACUGGGGCUAAUACCGGAUAGGAGCUCCUGCUGCAUGGUGGGGGUUGGAAAGUUUCGGCGGUUGGGGAUGGACUCGCGGCUUAUCAGCUUGUUGGUGGGGUAGUGGCUUACCAAGGCUUUGACGGGUAGCCGGCCUGGGAGGGUGACCGGCCACAUUGGGACUGAGAUACGGCCCAGACUCCUACGGGAGGCAGCAGUGGGGAAUAUUGCACAAUGGGCGGAAGCCUGAUGCAGCAACGCCGCGUGCGGGAUGACGGCCUUCGGGUUGUAAACCGCUUUCGCCUGUGACGAAGCGUGAGUGACGGUAAUGGGUAAAGAAGCACCGGCUAACUACGUG